rnacentral:rRNA from 1 species
GACAGAGGGUGCAAACGUUGUUCGGAAUCACUGGGCAUAAAGCGUGCGCAGGCGGUUAUGUAAGACAGGUGUGAAAUCCCAGGGCUUAACCUUGGAACUGCAUUUGUGACUGCAUAGCUAGAGUACGGUAGAGGGGGAUGGAAUUCCGCGUGUAGCAGUGAAAUGCGUAGAUAUGCGGAGGAACACCGAUGGCGAAGGCAAUCCCCUGGACCUGUACUGACGCUCAUGCACGAAAGCGUGGGGAGCAAACAGG